rnacentral:rRNA from 1 species
CACGUAGGGGACGAGCGUUGUCCGGAUUCAUUGGGCGUAAAGCGCGCGUAGGCGGCUUUAUAAGUCGGGGGUGAAAGCCUGUGGCUCAACCACAGAAUUGCCUUCGAUACUGUAGAGCUUGAGACCGGAAGAGGUAAGUGGAACUGCGAGUGUAGAGGUGAAAUUCGUAGAUAUUCGCAAGAACACCAGUGGCGAAGGCGGCUUACUGGUCCGGUUCUGACGCUGAGGCGCGAAAGCGUGGGGAGCAAACAGG